rnacentral:rRNA from 1 species
UACGGAGGGUGCAAGCGUUAUCCGGAAUUAUUGGGCGUAAAGAGCUCGUAGGCGGUUUGUCGCGUCUGCUGUGAAAACCCGAGGCUCAACCUCGGGCCUGCAGUGGGUACGGGCAGACUAGAGUGCGGGUAGGGGAGAUUGGAAUUCCUGGUGUAGCGGUGGAAUGCGCAGAUAUCAGGAGGAACACCAAUAGCGAAGGCAGCUCGCUGGGACGUUACUGACACUGAGGCGCGAAAGCGUGGGGAGCGAACAGG